CGUAACAAGGUUUCCAUUGGAGAUUAUCUAGCCAGGUUUAGUAUAGGAUCUAGCUUUGUUUUUCAGAGAUGUGCAGAGGAAUCAACAACAACAUUUGUAGGAUCUCAGAGAAACUGGAGAAGCCUCGACCUUGUACUUUUUGUGGGAGAUGGUUGCUACCAAUAGUAAUGGAGAUAAAACAAGAAAUUGUGGAAUGUGAGGAUUGCCACAAGAAAUGUCUCCUUUCUUCAUUUGUUGGCUAAGAGCAGAUCGGUGUCCAUAUUGUGGAUGUAUUACCUUUAGUUUAGUCUCUUCUCUAGCAUUAGAAGGCAACAGCAGCAAUACUUAGUUCCAUUCUCUGAUAGAGCAUUAGUUUAUGCAAAUCAUUUAUUUGUUUCCUUAGUUUUGUACUUGGAUUUUACAUAUUCUAUUUCAGUCAUUUUCAUUAUUUCUUUUUAUAAGAUAUGUUCUGCGAUGUUAUUACUGAUAAAUGACAUGUUUUAUUUCUUAUUUAAUUAUUUUGUAGUUAUUUUGUAAUCAUAAUUGAUUUAUUGACGCUUAGCAUAAGUAUAGUACGGGGUUCACCUUCAUCAUACUUGCGUUGCAUCUUGUAAUGUGUCAUUCUCUCGUAUUUUGGGAAUGCAGCC
rnacentral:rRNA from 1 species